rnacentral:misc_RNA from 1 species
UUUCCGUAGGUGAACCUGCGGAAGGAUCAUUGAAUCGAUCAGCAUCCACACCGGUGACCAUACCACGUACCCCCCAGUCGGGACUCGAAAGAGGCUCGGCUGGGCGCCCGAUGGCAUUUGCGUGCUGUCGGGCGGGUCGAAACCCUCUUUUGGCUUUCGGCCGGCCCUGUCCAACCCCAACCCACCCCAAACACAAAACACUCUGAAGCCAAAACCGUGGGCGCCCACGCGGCGUUUCCCACGUACCACAAACAAAAGACAACUCUCAACAACGGAUAUCUUGGCUCCC